UACGUAGGGGGCGAGCGUUGUCCGAAGUUACUGGGCGUAAAGGGCCCGCAGGCGGUGGAGUAAGUUUGGAGUGACAGUUCCCAGCUUAACCGGGAAAGGACUUCGAAAACUGCUCGACUUGAGGACUGGAGAGGAAGGCGGAAUUCCGGGUGGAGCGGUGAAAUGCGUAGAGAUCCGGAGGAACACCGACGGCGAAGGCAGCCUUCUGGAAAGUACCUGACGCUGAGGGGCGAAAGCUAGGGGAGCGAACGGG
rnacentral:rRNA from 1 species